CCUACGGGGGGCAGCAGUGAGGAAUAUUGGUCAAUGGACGAGAGUCUGAACCAGCCAAGUAGCGUGAAGGAUGACUGCCCUAUGGGUUGUAAACUUCUUUUAUAAAGGAAUAAAACGAGGCACGUGUGCCUUUUUGCAUGUACUUUAUGAAUAAGGAUCGGCUAACUCCGUGCCAGCAGCCGCGGUAAUACGGAGGGUCCGAGCGUUAUCCGGAUUUAUUGGGUUUAAAGGGCGCGUAGAUGGGUUUUUAAGUCAGUUGUGAAAGUUUGCGGCUCAACCGUAAAAUUGCAAUUGAUACUGGCAGGCUGGAGUACAGUUGAGGUAGGCGGAAUUCGUGGUGUAGCGGUGAAAUGCUUAGAUAUCACGAAGAACCCCGAUUGCGAAGGCAGCUUACUAAACUGUGACUGACAUUGAUGCUCGAAAGUGUGGGUAUCAAACAGGAUUAGAUACCCUUGUAGUC
rnacentral:rRNA from 1 species